AUCAACCUCUCUCCAGUUUCCCAGAGGAAACCUGGUUUGAGAGAGGGCCUAGAGGGAUGUGACCAGUCUUCUCCUUCCUGAAUAAACAAGCAGGACGGCAGACCUGGUUGCUGCUGCUGCUGUCUUUCCCAUGAUGGGAGCUGUGCCUCUUCUCCACCUGCCUCCUCAAAAACAUUGCAAAGCCUGCUGUGGAUGUGUGGUACAGAGAAGACAAGAUAACAUGAGAGCAUGACACAUCACCAGGAUGUCCCCCAUGAGCCAGCCAAGCAGGAGCCUCUGACACAGCUUGAGGAAGCACAGAGGGG